AUUUUUCAGUUUCUUGUUGAACAGCGACUGGUCGAGUCUGCAGUUCGUUUCAAGUUUAACGUCCAACAAUUAUUUUUUUGAGAUUCUAGUUACUUCUUUAUUUAUGUUUUGGGAAACAUGGCAUCCAAUUUGUUUGGUACUCCGAAGAUGAUUUUGCCGUACGAGUGGAUUCUGGAAAAUGUCGAGGAAGAACCGGUAACAAUGGCGUCGAAAAUGAUUUUGUUUCGUGGCGAGAAAGUGUUCCGUGUGGGUUUGAAGAACCACGCCGUAUCGGCCAUUUUGUUUUUCGUGGGCAUUAAUGAUUAAUCUCAGCAAAAUUGGACUGAAAGUAGAAGACGUAACGUACCAAAUUCAAGAUGGUGGCACAACAUAGCCAGUAACGAUGGAGCAAAUGAAAAAGGAGAAUAUCGGCGAUGGAGGAAGUCUGCAACUAUUCAAAACUCGACUUGGCAAAAAGAUUGUUGGAAAUUGGAUGUUUUCGUUUCGAAUUGUCCUUGAAGGAGUCAUCCCCUGCUGUUCGACCUAUGGCUAUUCCUACAAACUAUGCGAUCGCCUUUCCAAGGAGCAAUUUUGGAAUGCCAUAACAAAUCAAAAACAUCUGGCGGACGUAGAAGUGAUUGUGAAAGACAAAACAUUUCCCGUUCAUAAAGCCAUUCUUGCUGCCCGCAGUUGAGUGUUUGCAGUCAAAUUCAUGAAAGAACAACCGGGAAAAGACGGUCCUCAUCAGGUCCGGUUGGAUGGCGUGGAUCCUUCAACAGUGGCCAAGUUUCUGUACUACGUUUACACGGGAGGACCGAUAGGAACAUUGGCAGAUGAAUAAUUGCUCAAAUUAGCCAACAAGUACGGGCUGCUGGCUCUGUCUGGUUUAUGCCAAGUUGAACUGAAGAAAAUUGAGGCCAUGCAGAUGGCAAAAGUCAUGGACAUUUUAAAUAACGGAGUUGAAGCACCAAAUUCUUCUUCCAAAAUUAUGCCGGAGAAAGAUACCGAAAUAAUUUUUGAUCGAACCACGCCCACUUUUAGAUGCGCAUUGCGGUUUACUGAAUCCAGAAUACCUAAGUGUAUAAUGGAAUAUAAAAAAGAAGAAUUGUUUUUCGCUUACAUCACUGGGAAUUUCGGUGAAAGCUGUAUCAGUAAACCCGGGAUUCAUUUUACAUGCGCCAAGCACCGAAAAUUCGGCUUGAAUGCGCUUGAAAGUUGAUAUUUAUUGCCAACUGAAGAAUAACCGACUUAUCAUGGUUAAGUUGGAAGCGAAGAAAUCGAAAGAAAACGCAAAAGUACUUUUACGCUUCAACAUCUGGUAUAAUUCACUUCUCUCACCUCAAAAUUCAUUCACUUCAACCUCGACAUCAAAACAAUGUGUACGAUUGGCAACUAUAACUACGAGAUGAUGGACGACGCGUGGCCGACAGAUUUUUGGAUGGCAGCAACAAACCAAAAAUUGACAGAUGUCGAAAUUAUUGUCGGGACUGUAAAAGUGAUGGAAGCCCACCGAGUUAUCCUAUGCGCCCGGAGUCCUGUCCUGAAUGUGUCUCUAAGCAAGAUCAGCUACACAGAAAAGCCUAUUGUUCUAUUCGAAGCAGAAUUCGAUGUCGAGAUUGUCAAGAAUUUUCUAAAUUUCCUUUACACUGGAUCUUUGAAAACGACUGACGGUGGCCAUCAACUUGGUAAAUUGGCCGCAAUGUACGACGUAGAGACAUUGCAAAAUGUGUGUCAACUACUUAACGCCAACCCACCGGAUGCCGAAGAACUGACCGACUAUCUUCUUCAGCUGUAAUCGCCGGAUAAGUGCCGUAAUUCUUUUAUUUAAUACUACUCUACAUUUGUUUUGUAUCGUCUUCGUUUUUUUUUAUACAGACGUUUGAAUUUUCA